rnacentral:rRNA from 1 species
GACGAACGCUGGCGGCGUGCUUAACACAUGCAAGUCGAACGGAAAGGCCCUGCUUUUGUGGGGUGCUCGAGUGGCGAACGGGUGAGUAACACGUGAGUAACCUGCCCUUGACUUUGGGAUAACUUCUGGAAACUGGGGCUAAUACCGGAUAGGAGCUCCUGCUGCAUGGUGGGGGUUGGAAAGUUUCGGCGGUUGGGGAUGGACUCGCGGCUUAUCAGCUUGUUGGUGGGGUAGUGGCUUACCAAGGCUUUGACGGGUAGCCGGCCUGAGAGGGUGACCGGCCACAUUGGGACUGAGAUACGGCCCAGACUCCUACGGGAGGCAGCAGUGGGGAAUAUUGCACAAUGGGCGGAAGCCUGAUGCAGCAACGCCGCGUGCGGGAUGAAGGCCUUCGGGUUGUAAACCGCUUUCGCCUGUGACGAAGCGUGAGUGACGGUAAUGGGUAAAGAAGCACCGGCUAACUACGUG